rnacentral:misc_RNA from 1 species
GAUGAAGAACGUAGCGAAAUGUGAUAAGUAGUGUGAAUUGCAGAAUUCAGUGAAUCAUCGAAUCUUUGAACGCACAUUGCGCCCCUUGGUAUUCCAUGGGGCAUGCCUGUUCGAGCGUCAUUUGUACCUUCAAGCUUUGCUUGGUGUUGGGUGUUUGUCCUGAGGGACUCGCCUUAAAGUAAUUGGCAGCCAGUGUUUGGUUUUGAAGCGCAGCACAAGUCGCGAUUCAAGGCUAUACACCAGCUUCCACAAGCCUUUUUCACUUUUGACCUCGGAUCAGGUAGGGAUACCCGCUGAACUUAAGCAUAUCAAUAAGCGGAGGA